rnacentral:rRNA from 1 species
CCUACGUGUGGCUGCAGUGAGGAAUAUUGGUCAAUGGGCGCGAGCCUGAACCAGCCAAGUAGCGUGAAGGAUGACUGCCCUACGGGUUGUAAACUUCUUUUAUAAAGGAAUAAAGUGAGGCACGUGUGCCUUUUUGUAUGUACUUUAUGAAUAAGGAUCGGCUAACUCCGUGCCAGCAGCCGCGGUAAUACGGAGGAUCCGAGCGUUAUCCGGAUUUAUUGGGUUUAAAGGGAGCGUAGAUGGGUUGUUAAGUCAGUUGGGAAAGUUUGCGGCUCAACCGUAAAAGUGCAAUUGAUACUGGCAGCCUGGAGUGCAGUGGAGGUAGGCGGAAGGCGUGGUGUAGCGGUGAAAUGCUUAGA